AGCUGUGGACCUCUUAGACAAGAUGCUGACCUUUAACCCUCACAAGCGAAUAACAGUGGAAGAGGCUUUGGCUCAUUCGUACUUUCAGGAAUACUAUGACCCAGCUGAUGAGCCUGUAGCGGAAGAACCUUUCCGGUUCGAGAUGGAACUGGAUGACCUUCCAAGGGAAAAACUGAAGGAAUUAGUGUUUGAAGAAACCAUGCUGUUUAAACAAAAAAUGCAACAGCAGUCGUAAGAUCGUUAAAGCAAGGUCCCGUCAUUAACUGCAGUUUUUCAAUUUGGGGACUGUGUUUUAGAAGUAAGAAGCUUGUUGGCUGGCCAACUAACUGGAAGAGAUAUACAGUAUUUUCAAGAUUUGUCUGUAUUCUACUGUGCCAACUCAGAAAUAGAUUUUUCUGUUGUUAAAAUUUGUGUUGAAAGUUGAGGACGCAGUAUAACUGUUUUCAGUUGAAGUAGUAUUUUUUUUUUGUUU